GUUGUAAUAUGGAGCAAUAGGUAUUGAUGUUGCAGUGGUAUCCACGGUGAUUAGUUCACUUUUUUCAUAAAGUUCGUGCGCAUUGUGCCCCAUGUACCGAAUGUAUCAGAACUAAAACGUAUAAUUGAGAGAAAUCUCUUUGUUGCGUCGUGGUAACAGCAGUGGUGAAAGCUUAGUUUCAAACGUCUCCUUUUCAAACUUGAGUGGUGAC